rnacentral:rRNA from 1 species
GACGAACGCUGGCGGCGUGCUUAACACAUGCAAGUCGAACGUGAUCCGGGGCUUCGGCUCCGGUGAAAGUGGCGGACGGGUGAGUAACGCGUGGGAACCUGCCCAGUGGUAGGGGAGUAACCGCGGGAAACGUGCGGCUAAUAACCCUACUGCGCCCUACUGGGGCGAAAGAUUUAUCGCCAUUGGAGGGGCCGCGUCGGAUUAGGUAGUUGGUGAGGUAACGGCUCACCAAGCCUUCGAUCCGUAGCUGGUCNGAGAGGAUGAUCAGCCACACCUGGGACUGAGACACGG